rnacentral:lncRNA from 1 species
GGAAACCUUGGGGACGCUUAAUUUUUCUCUCUGAAGCCAGCUUUGAAGACCUUUUUCUCUCUGCAUUUUUUCACAACAAUUCUAUUUUGUCUUUUAUUUUUCUUUAGCAACAUUAUUCUCUUUUACCGUUCAGAGCUUUGAUUUUCCCUUUUUCCUUUCCGCUUUUUAUUUAGCCAAAAUAGUAGUUUCCUACACUGGGGAACUACUGCAAUUU